UACGUAGGGUGCAGGCGUUAAUCGGAAUUACUGGGCGUAAAGCGUGCGCAGGCGGCUCCUUAAGUCAGAUGUGAAAGCCCCCGGGCUUAACCUGGGAACUGCGUUUGAAACUGGGGAGCUAGAGUGUAGAAGAGGGGGGUGGAAUUCCAGGUGUAGCAGUGAAAUGCGUAGAUAUCUGGAGGAACACCGAUGGCGAAGGCAGCCCCCUGGGCUAACACUGACGCUCAUGCACGAAAGCGUGGGGAGCAAACAGG
rnacentral:rRNA from 1 species